CGCAGAAUUUUGGGGAAUUUCCAUGGUUUUUUCCAGGAAUGUUUUCCACACAAAACAGGGAAUUUUGGGAAUUCCCAAUGGGAUUUCUGGGAACGUUUUCCACCCUGGAAUUUUGGGAAUUUUCCACUGUUUUUCCUGGCAAUGUUUUCCACACAAAACGGGGAAUUUUGGGAAUUCCCAGUGGGUUUUUUGGGAACAUUUUCCACCCUGGAAUUUUGGGAAUUAUCACCAUUUUUCCAGGACAAUUUUCCACGUGGAAUGGGAGAAUUUUGGGAAUUCCCAAUGGUUUUUCCAGGAACAUUUUCCACCCUGGAAUUUUGGGAAUUUUCCAUUGUUUUUCCUGGCAACAUUUUCCACACAAAACGGGGAAUUUUGGGAAUUCCCAAUGGGUUUAUUGGGAGCAUUUUCCACAGUGGAAUUUUGGGAAUUUUCCACUGUUUUUUCAGGAACAUUUUCCACUUGGAAUUGGAGAAUUUUGGGAAUUCCCAAUGGGAUUUCUGGGAACAAUUUCCACCCUGGAAUUUUGGGAAUUCUCGUUGUUUUUUCAGGAACAUUUUCCACUUGGAACAGGGAAUUUUGGGAAUUCCCAAUGGGUUUUCCGGGAACAUUUUCCACCCUGGAAUUUUGGGAAUUCCCGUUGUUUUUCCUGGCAACGUUUUCCACACAAAACGGGGAAUUUUGGGAAUUCCCAAUGGGAUUUCCGGGAACAUUUUCCACCCUGGAAUUUUGGGAAUUCCCGCCCUUUUUCCAGGAAUCUUUUAUUUGUGGAAUGAGGGAAAUUCAGGGAAUUCCCAGUGGUUUUCUGGGAACGUUUUCGACUCGGAAUUGAGGAAUUUUGGGAAUUCCCAAUGGGUUUUCUGGGAACAUUUUCCACCCUGGAAUUUUGGGAAUUUUCCACUGUUUUUCCUGGCAAUGUUUUCCACACAAAACGGGGAAUUUUGGGAAUUCCCAGUGGUUUUUCCAAGAACAUUUUCCACCCUGGAAUUUUGGGAAUUAUCACCAUUUUUUCCAGGACAAUUUUCCACAUGGAAUUGGAGAAUUUUGGGAAUUCCCAAUGGGUUUUCUGGGAACAUUUUCCACCCUGGAAUUUUGGGAAUUUUCCACUGUUUUUUCAGGAACAUUUUCCACACAAAACGGGGAAUUUUGGGAAUUCCCAAUGGGUUUUUUGGGAACAUUUUCCUCGCUGGAAUUUUGGGAAUUAUCACCAUUUUUUCCAGGACAAUUUUCCACACAAAACAGGGAAUUUUGGGAAUUCCCAAUGGGUUUUCCGGGAACAUUUUAAACCCUGGAAUUUUGGGAAUUCCCGCCCUUUUUCCAGGAAUCUUUUAUUUGUGGAAUGAGGGGAAAUUCAGGGAAUU
rnacentral:lncRNA from 1 species